CACCAGCACCCCGAGUGGUCGGGACGUUUAUUGGGCCUAAAGCAUCCGUAGCCGGUUCUACAAGUCUUCCGUUAAAUCCACCUGCUUAACAGAUGGGCUGCGGAAGAUACUAUGGAGCUAGGAGGCGGGAGAGGCAAGCGGUACUCGAUGGGUAGGGGUAAAAUCCGUUGAUCCAUUGAAGACCACCAGUGGCGAAGGCGGCUUGCCAGAACGCGCUCGACGGUGAGGGAUGAAAGCUGGGGGAGCAAACCGG
rnacentral:rRNA from 1 species